AGGGCACCACCAGGAGUGGAGCCUGCGGCUUAAUUUGACUCAACACGGGAAAACUCACCCGGCCCGGACACUGGAAGGAUUGACAGAUUGAGAGCUCUUUCUUGAUUCAGUGGGUGGUGGUGCAUGGCCGUUCUUAGUUGGUGAGCGAUUUGUCUGGUUAAUUCCGAUAACGAACGAGACUCUAGCCUACUAAAUAGAUCGUUGGCUUACAAACGCCAAUGAGACUUCUUAGAGGGACAGGCGGCGAUUCAGCCGCACGAACAGAGCAAUAACCAGGUCUGUGAUGCCCUUUAGAUGUCCGGGGGCCGGCACGGCGCGCUACACUGAAAUGGUCAGGGGUGGAUUCCCCACCUUUGGCCCGAAGGGCCUGGGGGAAUCCGAUGGAACUUCCUUCGGGGAUGGGAAUGGAGCUUUUUGUAUUUUUCGCUCAUGGACCCAAGAAAUCCCAAGUGAGCGCGCAAUCAUAAAGCUCGCGGUUGAAUACCGCCCCUGCCCCUUGGGAAAAACGGGCGGUGGUAA
rnacentral:rRNA from 1 species